rnacentral:rRNA from 1 species
AUUGAACGCUGGCGGCAUGCCUUACACAUGCAAGUCGAACGGUAACGCGGGGCAACCUGGCGACGAGUGGCGAACGGGUGAGUAAUGCAUCGGAACGUGCCCAGUAGUGGGGGAUAGCCCGGCGAAAGCCGGAUUAAUACCGCAUACGACCUACGGGUGAAAGCGGGGGACCGUAAGGCCUCGCGCUAUUGGAGCGGCCGAUGUCAGAUUAGGUAGUUGGUGGGGUAAAGGCCUACCAAGCCUACGAUCUGUAGCUGGUCUGAGAGGACGACCAGCCACACUGGGACUGAGACACGGCCCAGACUCCUACGGGAGGCAGCAGUGGGGAAUUUUGGACAAUGGCGCAAGCCUGAUCCAGCCAUGCCGCGUGCGGG